rfam:Ovis aries breed Texel chromosome 3, whole genome shotgun sequence.
UCCCUGAUAGCUUAGUUGGUAAAGAAUCUGCCUUCAAUGUAGGAGACCUGGGUUCGAUCCCCGGGUUGGAAA